GGCAACCCUGACGGAGCAACGCCGCGUGGGGGAGGAAUGUCUGUGGAUUGUAAACCCCUUUUCUCAGGGAAGAAGCUCUGACGGUACCUGAGGAAUCAGCAUCGGCUAACUCCGUGCCGGCAGCCGCGGUAAGACGGAGGAUGCAAGCGUUAUCCGGAAUUAUUGGGCGUAAAGCGUCCGUAGGCGGUUUAUCAAGUCUGCCGUUAAAGACUGCAGCUUAACUGUGGGCGAGCGGUGGAAACUGAUGAACUAGAGUACGGUAGGGGUAGAGGGAAUUCCCAGUGUAGCGGUGAAAUGCGUAGAUAUUGGGAAGAACACCAGUGGCGAAGGCGCUCUACUGGGCCGUAACUGACGCUGAGGGACGAAAGCUAGGGGAGCG
rnacentral:rRNA from 1 species